CAUUGAGCUUCAAAAGCUCUUCAGAAACCAACAGAUGACGUCCAGCAGAAGCCACGACUCACUGAAUCGUCUGCCCGACAUUUUCAACGAAAGAACCUGUCCCGCUCUUCUUCCAACCAGCAGCUCGACAGCCAGUGUGCACUAAACUUGACAUAUUGUCAUGUAACACUGCCAGGCACCAUUACACUUCCUGCUAUCGCCUCGGAUCGAGCAAAAACACACCGAACGCCUGCUGCCUAACAGCAUGCGAGGCGGCAGCCGUAAACGAGGGCGUCUAUAAAUCCUGCGCUAAGGAUGAAAGACUGCCACAAAGGAGAUUAGUGUCCACAGCAGCUAAUGAGAAAUGUAACUGAGAGAGUGUCAAAUCCCUCUCCGGUCCCCACUGGAGCAGAGACUCAUGGGAAGACCAGGAUAACAGCCAAUCCCUGAAGGAAGUGAGGAAAUGACUCCUCGCCAAUCCCAGGGCUCACCGAGGUUACUACGGGGCUGCUGGGCCAUCGCCAUGGUACCCUGCUAUCAGGGGACACCUGGCCAAUCACAUUUAGUGAUGUUAAGUGUAAACAUCCUUACACUAUAGUCACUACAGUGUGAGGAUGCACUAUAGUAUAGUGCAUCCAUGGCACCUUUACAGAAGCAUGGGGUUGACUGUGCAGACAUGGGUGGUUGGGGGAAGAUGCAGGACUGGAGAGAGGCUUAAAUAUUCUAUGUAUGUGAAAGUAACGGCACUUUGCAUAAAUUUGACCAGACUGGACCAGUCUGUUGUUUUGGAUUAAAUUAGUUCACACCAAUUUCAUCGACACCAUACAACACUAUUUUGCAAAAAAUUAACACAAGAACUUUUAGUGGCACAUCUUCAAGAGAACAUACCAAAUGCUGAAUGACUAAUAACCAUUUGAUACUGCAUGGACUUUACUCAAAUUAAAGAAUAAAAUGCUGAUUCAGUAACACAAGGUCAUUAAUACGACACACUGUGACAUACUGUGGUGAUAUUAUCAUGUGAAAGCCUUAAAUCUUCAGUUAUGGUGAUUACAGUGGAAGGAUUAUACGUUCCUCUGCGGACUAAGAAACUUCUGCAACUCUUGGCUUAUUAAAAGUUUAAAAACCCCUUGAGAUGAAACUCAAAAGUACAUAGUGGUCAGGUUUAAAACAAGGCAUUUUCUCUUGCAGUGCUUUCAGAUUGCCAGCAGCUCACCAGAAAUUCCUUCUAUCCCUACUGAGCCGAUCAACCUGACAAAUGUUUGGCAGUAGAUAACCAUCAGCCAGGUUUCCCUGCCCACUUUAUUUCCUACAGACGUUAUAAUAAUUCUGUGAAUAAAUAUUAUACCACGAGAAAUACACAAUGAGCAGUCUGCCAUGCAGGGAUUCCCCAAGCUAUGUUUAAUGAAAUAAGUACAGGAAUGACCAAUAUUCUCCUUGAUGAGAUGCUCUAUAAACAGUACUGCUAUUAAGAAAUGUUGAUUGGGUUUAUCAGGUUGCACCAGCUAGUCCGGCUAACAAAUGCUAACCCUACCUGGUGAGUAGAUGAUUUUUCACCAAAUAAAGUUAAAACAACUUCCCAAACACCACGUUUUCUUUGUUCUUUACUUUAAAAGUGCUGAAAUCCAAGCUUUAAACACAACUUCAUUGAAUUUCUUUUGCUGUUAGCUAUACCACUAGUUUCAGCAUUGAGGACAAAUGAUCAAGAUAAAAAAAAGCUAACACAGAAACUUUGUUGCUAGAGGAGUAUUUUUUUUAGGUUAUGCUAAGUAGCUAAGCUACCACCAUGGAUUUAAAACUGUAUGUGAAUUUUGUAUUAUACAUUAGACUUCGUCAUAGUGGUAAAUUUGACGAAGAUGUACUGUAAGUUGUUUCUGUUGCAAUGCUAACAAAAGGCUGUACAGAUUAGACAACCAAUAGCUAAAAUAAGUGACAACGGUAAAAUAAGAAGCCCAUUAAUUAUACUCUGUGUAUGUUUAUGUGUCACAGACAGAGAGAGAUCAAGCAUAAUGUAACAUACAUAACCACUGUGCUAACGUUCAUUCAUUUCAAAGAGGUCACUGCAUUAGCAAAGCAGGGGUACAGACACAGACAUAGCAAAAAUUUAAAAAAAAACUAAGGUCAUUUGGCAAUGAAGUUAAAGCUGGCUAACGGUUGGACAUGCCCAUACCAACAAAGUAUCUUGCAUUUUUUAACACAGUACUGUUUUUGGUCUAAACACCUGCUUACGGAGCUCAACAUCCUGCUGGGUUGGUGUGGUUUGCCUUAGAAUUACUUUAUGAAUAUGGUAUUAUCUCUGUCCCAGUUCAGUGGUCUUUACAGAAGGAAUACUGUCCUCAAUACCAACUGUAAUGUCUGGUGUUUAGAGGAAUAAUGUGGGGAAUACUGACCGGAUAGGCACAGAUUGUAUAAUGUUAUAAAUAGGGGCCAUAUUGUGGGAUUCCUCAGAGAAGCAGAUGUGCUCCAGCUGACUUACUCUGUAAUCCCACCUCACUCUCUGAUCCAACAACACACACACUCCAACACACACAUACAUGUGCACGCAGAUAGAACAUAAACAAGCUUUAUCCUUUGAUCAUUGUGUGGCAGAAAAAAGACAUUACUGGCUGUAGAAGUCACUGUGAACAGAAAUGCGUGGAAACUCGCAUUUCAACGUGCAAAUAAGCCAGCGGGGACGGAGAUGCUCAUAUAACAUCAAAGAGCGAAAACGACAGAGUCUGUUUCAAGUAGAGUUGGCAAUUCAAGUCUGUAUUAACAACCAAUGAUCAAAUAACCAGACUUUACACACAUACCCACACACACAGACAUAGCAGUGAUGGAAACAUGAUCACUGAGUUGAACCAUUAUAAAGAACCGCUCCUGACCAACCCAUCAAACAUACAAUCCCCACUAAUUGGAGACGAGAUGGGAGGCGUUAUUUCAGCAGAAGUCAACCGCUAACCACCGGCAGCCUCAGUAUGAUGGCAGUUGGCAAGUUAGCAUCACGAUUGAAAUGCUUCAUGAUUCAUGAUUUACAGGUUUAGAGAAAUACAGAAGUAGAGACAUCACCACUGCUGAAGCUGGAUGUAUUUUACCAACUGUAAAUUUCCAAGUGAAAGUUGACUUCUAAUGAUAAUCAUAAUAUCAUUCAACACUGAAACAUGUAAAUCACCUGGAUAAUUUAAUGUUCACUGGCCACCAGUGGUCAUUGUGUAAUCAAUAUUUCAACUUCAUUUCUGAGAAAUCACACAGAUCCUUAGCAGUUAUUGCUAUUAAGAAGAUAUCAGUGAGACAAGAUUUGGAGUUAUAGUAUAUUUAGAACACUUCAUCGUCACAAUCAGUAACCACUACACCACAGCUGCUGAAUUGGUUAAAACUGAUCCACAAUUCAAACUGAUUCAAACAACUGUGCUUGAACGCACAACCUCUAACUUUAGCCAGCCAGUAAUGGCGCAACAUAAUGUUAACCUCUGUAAUGCAAUGCUGCUUGGGAUUCAUAGUUGACUUCGAUAUUAAAG